rnacentral:piRNA from 1 species
UGACACCUGGUAAUCCCAAUCUGUGUC